CCCCUCUCAGGAUCACACCUGGAGACUUUCCAGUAUUCUACCAGUCUCAGCUACAGGAGGGAGAGUCAAGCGGAGGCAUUUCCAUUCCUAGCUUGGGCAGCGGCUAGCGAGUGGAAGGUAAUCUGCUACAAGU